ACUUUCAAGUUCCCUGUUGCUCCUGAGAGCUUUCUUUCUGUCACUCAAUAAAAUUCUCCUCUGCCUUACUCACUCUCCAGUGUCUGCACACCUCAUUCCUCUUGGUCGUGAGACAAGAACUCAGAACUUGCUGAAAUGCAGAAGUGAAAGAGCAGUAUCACUCCAUCCUGCUGAACUAUGGGAGUGAAGAAGCCACAGUAGGACUUUACUAGAAGUGAGGAUUGGAGAACAGAAUCUUUCCAAAAGGAACACCUCAAAUACUCACUUCAUCAAGUCUCUGCAGACCAAAACAUUGUGAUUACUGCUAACCAUACCCAUCUUAAAGAUACAGGAACAACUGCCAUGUUGUGGAGAGGGCAGAAAACAGCAGGCAAUCUCCCAGCCCUGAGAAUGGCCUCCUCUUCCCAACAGCCAGCAAGAAGGCUGGAAUCUCAGUCCUAUGACCAAAAGAAACUCUAGUCUAACAGGCCAAAUCAGUCUGGAAGAAGAUCUUAAGCUUCAGCUCACAGAUUCUCUGCCUGUGUCGUAUGGCUAUUGCCAGGGGAUGAACGAGGGUUGCUGUUCGCAAUUCAAGACUGUCUUUCCUACCCUCUUCAGUGCCUCUUGAUGUUAAAACCAGGUACUGUUAUCGCUCAUUUGAUUUUUGGUUCUUAUGAAGGUGGCGUUCUGUGUGAAUAGUUGUUUAGUUUCGUGUUCCUGUAGGGGGAGGGAUGGUCUUUAGAGGGAGUCUACUUAGCCAUCUUGCUCUGCCUCCUCUCCAGAAUCUCUUUCUUAAUCAAAUGCAGUAACUUCCUACAUUCCUCUGCUGUAUCCAGUCUUAUCUCCCAUGAAUCUGUUUAUACCGUAGCAGAGAAAGUGAUCUACAUUUUUAAAAACCUGACCAUGUUGCUGUCACCAAAACAUUCUAUAUUGUUUUUUAGCUCCUCCUCAUGUACAAAUUCUCAAACUUCUUAACGAUUUUCUUUCAUAACUUUGUACUUACUGAUCUAUGUCAACUUUUUUUUAAUCCUAGCUUUGCACUUUAUAUUUAACCACGCAGAACUCCUGUGAGACUGAGCCCUUAGCCUAUGAAAUCUGUCGCUAUCUCUGGAUAGUUACUUGUGUUGCUUCACCAAUACUGUGAUGUUUCUUGUCAUAAUUAUUUACUCUGUUCUUUUCUUCCUGAAAUGUCCUACAGUUUUCUUUAAUCAACUUCUCUUUAUCUUUUCUGUAUCAUAUCUAGUACCACUUCACAAUCCACACUUCAGGUUCUCUCUCUAAUAACAUCCCAAGAAUUUCUCUAACACUGAACUUUGCUUCAUAAUAGUUAUCUAUGUGACUAUAAUUCUUGAAGAAAGAGACUGCCUCAUCUCUGAUUCUACAUUGCUUUAUGCAGUUUGUGUUAAUGGUAUAAAGAUAACAAAUAUUUAUUAACUAAAUGAGUACAGUGUAAGCUGUAUUUUGAAAAAAGAUUACUUUUUUUCAAAAUAGAGUUAAAUUACUUGAGAAACAAAGUUGUUGAUAAUCUUUAUGAUCCUUAUUUUCUUUUAAUUAUUUUUUCAAGUUUUGUCUCUUAAUGCAGAGCUAAUGAAUACAUGGAAAUUCAAUUCAAAUCAAAUUCAGAUUUGAGAUAAUCAACAGUAUGUUCUAUUGCCAAUUUUGCCCAAAUGGUAUAUUAUUCAGUUUCUCAUAAAUUAGCACCAAACUUACUUGUUACUUCACUUCCAAAAAAUAAUCUUAAACAUCAUAUCAGGUAACUGUGGUUUGCUUAUCCUUCAUAUUCAAUAAUUGGUCAUGAUUUCUUUUACCUCCUAAGAGAUUAAACAUUUAAAUCUUCUCUGCAAUAUUGUAUAUUUCUAUAGUUCAUUUCCAAAUAAUCAAAUAUCAUCCUAUUUCUUCAGUAUCUGUCAAAAUGUCAUCUCUGCUUUUAGAUUUACUAACUCGAAUUCAUCAUCCACAUGAUUUUUAUUCUUAUCUCUUUAAAUGAAAUUUAAUGCUGUAUGAUUUUUCCUUUAUUGAGCUUGGUGUCCAGAGAUCUAUAGGACUCUGGUGAGAGAGUGUUGGAAGUGAAGACUGAAGGUUGACUUUUUCAGAAGGGCCUCAAUGAGUCUGGAUUCAAAACAAGAAGUGAGCUACUUCUUCAUUGAUAGGAUGGUUGGAAGUAAAACAAUAUCUGAGAGCAGAAAGCCCUCUUCUAUUUUUCUAGCUCAGUAGCGGUGAGAGUCUUUCAUCUGUAGCCUCCCAGGGAAGGAGUCCCAUGUACCUCUAAGAUCCUGAGGGUUCUGGCUAUGAAACAUAUGUAAACAUUAGAAUCGAAGUCUAGAUUCAUUGACAUAAUGAAAUUGCGGCUUUUCUGAUAGGCCUCAGGAAGAAGAGAGAGAAAAAUAAGAUGGAAAAUUUGAAACACAUGGCAAGGGAAAAAAACUGCUGAAAGAGACAGAUGGACACCUGAUUUGUUUUAAGCAUUUAGGAAGAUGCACUCAGAAAUUAGAUUAGAUGAGAGAAAAUUAAGAUCAAUGUUAAUGACUUAACAGGUUUAGGAAAAUUUGGAGGAAAAGAAUAGGAGCUUCAAAGGGAGCAAAGGGGACAGAUGGAGGAUCAGAAAUAACAAAACAAUUGAUUGAAGAAAAUUUGAACUAAAUGAAGAACUGUGUUUUCAUAUUGAGAAUACUCACUGGGUCAGUCCUAGGCUGCACUAAUGAGAAAGAAUUUCUAACUGGGCAAAGCCUGAUAAAAUUAAUGAUAAUGAUAAAGAAAAAAAAUUUAACUGUAUAUGUAAGGAUAAGUCAUCAGUAAAUAAAUAUAUUUGCAUUACCAGUGGUUA